rnacentral:rRNA from 1 species
AGUGAACGCUGGCGGUAGGCCUAACACAUGCAAGUCGAACGGCAGCACAGUAAGAGCUUGCUCUUACGGGUGGCGAGUGGCGGACGGGUGAGGAAUACAUCGGAAUCUACUUUUUCGUGGGGGAUAACGUAGGGAAACUUACGCUAAUACCGCAUACGACCUACGGGUGAAAGCAGGGGAUCUUCGGACCUUGCGCGAUUGAAUUAGCCGAUGUCGGAUUAGCUAGUUGGCGGGGUAAAGGCCCACCAAGGCGACGAUCCGUAGCUGGUCUGAGAGGAUGAUCAGCCACACUGGAACUGAGACACGGUCCAGACUCCUACGAGAGGCAGCAGUGGGGAAUAUUGGACAAUGGGCGCAAGCCUGAUCCAGCCAUACCGCGUGGGUGAAGAAGGCCUUCGGGUUGUAAAGCCCUUUUGUUGGGAAAGAAAAGCAGCAGGUUAAUACCCCGCUGUUCUGACGGUACCCAAAGAAUAAGCACCGGCUAACUUCGUG